AAUCCAUGGUGAGGGCACCUUCUCAAUAGAUCUUUGUAUCUCUCCCAUGCAUCAUAAAGUGUUUCUAAAUCCAUUUGCACAAAAGAAGAGAUAUCAUUCCUUAAUUU
rnacentral:snoRNA from 1 species